ensembl:processed_transcript Tctn2 tectonic family member 2
AGCUUGGCAAUAUGGCGUCGGCUGGUCGGCGAAGGCCGCCACUUUUUCUCUUCCAGGCUAUUCUGGGUUUCUGAGGCAGGCCGGCCCGGGUAUGGGCUCUCUGUCACCGCUCAGCCUCCUGUGGGGACUCCUCCUGCUGCAGGGCGUCCUGAGGCCGCUGCGCGGGGACCCGGUUUUCAUCCCACCUUUCAUCCGGAUGUCCAGCCCUGAGGUCCGAGCGACCCUGGUCGGAGGCAGCGAGGAUGUCGCUGUGUCUCUGAGUCUGCUGCAGGUCGAGGAAGGAGUGUUGCCAGUUCCUACUUGUGGCGGCCGCCGCAAUGAGACAGUGGAUUGGAAUGUGACUGUGAGCCCCCGAGAGAGCACGCUGGAAGUGACCAUAAGGUGGAAGAGGGGUCUAGACUGGUGCUCCGCAGACGAGACAGCCUCAUUCUCAGAGCCCCCGUGUGUUCUGCAGAUGCUGCUAGUUUCAGCCUCCCACAAUGCAUCCUGCUUAGCACAUCUGCUCAUCCAGGUGGAGAUUUAUCCCAACACAUCUGUAACCCACAACGCAUCAGAGAACAUGACUGUCAUUCCUAACCAAGUCUAUCAGCCCCUGGGUCCCUGCCCGUGUGACUUAACAGCCAAGGCCUGUGACAUUCAAUGCUGCUGUGACCAGGUAAGUUUUUUUUCUGUUUACCAGGUUAUCUGAGAAUGUCACCCCCAUUAGAUAGGCGACAACAGAGAUUAGAUUUUGCAAAUCAGUUUUGUUUUGUUUUGUUUUGUUUUUUUGAGAUAGGAUCUCAUGUAGUCCAAGUUGGCCUGGAACACUCCAUGUGGUGGAGAAUGGUUUUGAACUCUUGGUCCUCCUGUCUCUAUCUCAGAGCUGCAUAUUGUGUUUAAAUUGAGUAUUUUCUCUUCUGGUGUUGUCUGUGUAGUUUGUGGAGAAAAGAGAAAAGUAUGUCUUUGGAUAAAAUCACCUUAGGGAGAGCUAUAGUUUGAGGGUGAUUUUUAAUCUUAUUUUAAAAUUUUAACUACAUUCAUUUAUUUGUGUGUGUGUGUUUUGUUGUUGUUUUUGUUGUUGUUGUUGUUGUUUUGAGAUAAGGUUUCUCUGUAUAGCCCUGGCUGUCUUGGAACUCACUCUGUAGACCAGGCUGGCCUCGAACUCCUGCCUCUGCCUCCCAAGUGCUGGGAUUAAAGGUGUGCGCCACCACCGCCUAGCCUGUGAGUGUGUGUGUUAUGGAGGGUUUGCUACAGUACAUAUGUACAGGUCAGGGGCCCUCUUGUGGGAGCUUCCAGGAAUAAAACUCCAGUUAUCAGGCUUGUCAGCAGACACUUUCCCAUGCUGAGCCACACUGCCAGCUCUCGCUUGUUUAUUGAGUAACAAGUCUCACUAUGUAGUCUAGGCUCACCUCCAAUUUAAGGUAGUCCUCUUGCCUCAGCUUUCCUGAGUGCCAGGAUUGUAGGCACAAACCACCACCCCUGGUUUAUAAUACAUACCUUAACAUUGUAAAUUUUAGACAAAUGAUAGGCAGGUUCACUGGUAUCCAGGGUCUCCCAUUUCUGCAGGAAUAUGGUUGAAUUUUGUUGUUGUUGUUGCUUUUGUUCAUCUGUUUUGAGAGUCUCUAUAACCUUGGUUAGCCUACAACUUGCUGUGUAGCCCAGGCUGGCCUCGAACUCACCUAGAUCUGCCUGUCUCUGUCUUCUGAGUGCUGGGAUUGAAGGGCAGUUGUUAGUGCUUUGAGGCGGGUUUUGCUGGCUGCGUGCUCACCGUGGGUGUGGGGUACACCCCCGGCUGGCCAUGUCAGACUUGCUUGUCUUAAAGUCGGUGUGGCAUACAGAGCUGUACACUUUGUUGCUUUUGUUCUGAGCUAGGGGUUCACGUGGCUGCAGGGGACCUGGCACUUGCAAUCCGGCUUCUGCUUCCCAAGUGCUAGACAGACAGACAGACAGACCUAUCCAAUUGAACAAAUCAAAACAGAGCCCUUCAGAACAAAUACGUACUGUCUAAUCUUGCCGUAAAAUCUUGGGAGGUAAAUACACACCCGUGAACUUAACCACCACUGUACAGGGGAGGCGGAGGUGGAGGGGUCAGAGGUUACAGGGCCGCCUAAGCAAACUCGCAGGUCAUCGGGCAGCCAUCGGUGACCCUCAAAAACCAAAGCAACACAAACAAAAACGGCCAUGAGGGACACCUUUCUGCAGAGGCUUUUUUGUCACGUGCUCCCGUGGGUCUCUGCACCAUCAGUAGAGUUACAUAAUCAGGAUGGCUCCAGCCAAGCUGUACCCGGUCGGUCUAUCACUAAUUGCCCUUGGAGCUGGUUGUAUUGUCGACUGCAGUAGCUGCCCCUCUUGGGAUUCCUAAGGUAGUACUGAGUGUGGUACCACAGGCCAGCAAGCCUAGCCCUGGGAAGGAAAAGACUCAGACUGACGAUUGUUGUGGUAAAUAUUAUUUGGGGGUUUCUACCUUACCUUGGAUCAUUUAGUUACC